rnacentral:ncRNA from 2 species
CGGUUCCUUCGGGGCAGGGUGAGGCCCGGGCCGAGCCUUUGGUGCGGGCCAAUUCCCGACCGGUGGUGAUGCCGAAGGCCAAGCCUUCGGACGAGUCCACGAGCGGCUUCCGGCGACUCGGAAGCCGCAGGAGUUUGGUGCGAAUCCAACACCGACGGUACAGUCCGGAUGGGAGAAGGAAACG